AUCCUUUUGUGGUUCCUAAGCAUGAUGCUUGGGUUUACUCAUGUCCGUGUGACAUUUGCCUCCCCCCAAUCUUGCUGCAAUGUCAACACAGUACCUGUCUGACA